CACUAGCCCAGAUAGUAGCGGCAUCCUUUUUCUGGCUUCUUUAGCCAGGAAAAGAUAUAGCGAAUAGCUGGAAAUAGC
rnacentral:sRNA from 1 species